CAAUUGAUAUAUUCAAAUGAUCAUAUUCCGUACAUCAAGAUUGCUAUUAUUUCUCACAUUUAUAUGAUAAUCGACAAGGCCUUCGAUCUACACGAUGGUAGUAGCGAUGCCUGACUGAAGUAACAAAACAUCUUUUCUUAAUAUCGCAAAAUAUCGGAAUGCGAUUACAUCAAGUGUUAAACACAAGUGGCCGAAGAGUGAAAGUAAAGACCUACAUUCACAGACUACAUAGUAGAAAACAUUUUGUAUUCCUGUUAAAUCCGGUAUUUAUUGAAAUUUUAAAUUGAAUUAAUUUAAAGAUGUUUUGACUAUAUAUAAUAUUGAUUAAAAGUUACCAAAAUUAAAAAACUGCAAGUUUGUUAGGUUUUUUUCGUAAUGAAUAAUAAUAAGUUUUUAACAUAAAUAUCCAAAUUUUUGCCUUAAAAUUACCUGUAGAACACAAAACAACGAAUAUUUUAACUUAUGCAGUGUAAAUGACAUCUUACUGCAGUUUUGAUGUUGAAGUAAAUAUCUUUUGAAUUGAAGAAUGUUUUAGCUCUAUAAUAUAAGUUAAAAGUUAUCAAAAUUUAAAAACUAUAAGUUUUCUAAAUUAAUUUGUUUCUUAAUCAAUUAUAAAAGUUUUAGUUGUGAUUUUGAGUCUGAACUCAAAUUUUGAGUGACUUUGAGUUACAAAGAAAACAAAAAAAUUAAUUUAUAAUGGCUUAUGGGUUUAUGUAGAAAAAAUGUUUCUAUUUUGUUACAGUUUUUAGUAAAUAAUUAUCCCGAUAGGCACAUUGUCCAAAUAUUUUACAAUAACAUCAUGUUAUAAAUUAACAAAAAUUUUAUAAAAAUUGUGUUAAGAUAAUACGUCAUAACGCAGUAAUAGUUUUGUCGGAUUAAAAUUUCUAAAUAAUAUUCGUCAAAAAUUUGACAAAUCUGAAAUAUCAAUAUUUUAUAAUCAUUUAAAAAGCAAUUUCGUUAUUUAUAAUGGGGAUUAUUUACAUUACUGAAUUCAAAUCUGAUAAAUUUUAUCUCAUUUUUUGUACAUUAGUUACCAUAUUAAAUCUACUAUCUUGAAUUUUUUAAAUUAAAAUUUUUUUAUUUUAGAAUUCAGAUUUAAAUUAAACAAUUCUCAGAAAAUAAUUUUGUAAAAAUGUUGGAUGUAAACAAAUAUACAAAAAAUAUACAGCUAAAAGAAUUAAACGAGUAAAUGGAUGCAAAUUAACUGCUAAAAUAAUUAUUUAUAUAGUUUUAUAGAAUUUAUAUAGUUUUAUUAGUAUAUGUAAAAAAUAUGAUUUAAUUUGUAAUGAUCAAAUUCGCAAGUAAGUAUUACAAACACAAUUUUACAUAAAAAUCAAAA